UAUUAAUUAAAGGGCCGCAGUAUUUUGACUGUGCUAAGGUAGCAUAAUCAUUUGUUCUUUAAUUGAGAGCUAGUAUGAAUGGUUGAAUGAAAAAUUAACUGUCUCUUAUUAAAAAUUUUAUAAUUUAAAUUUUUAGUCAAAAUGCUAAAAUAUUAUUAAAAGACGAGAAGACCCUAUAGAUUUUUAUUUUAUUUUAUUUAAUAAUAUUUUAAUUAAUUUAGUUAAUUUAAAUAAAAUUUGAUUGGGGUGAUUGAAAAAUUUAAAAAACUUUUUUAAUUUUUAUUCAUUUAUGUAUGUAAUUUUGUUCCAUUAUUUAUGAUUAUUAGAUUAAAUUACCUUAGGGAUAACAGCGUAAUUUUUUUAGAGAGUACUUAUCGAUAAAAAAGAUUGCGACCUCGAUGUUGAAUUAAAAUAUUUUAAAAUGUAGAAGUUUUAAAUUUUAGUCUGUUCGACUAUACUAUUUUACAUGAUCUGAGUUCAAACCGA
rnacentral:rRNA from 1 species